UACGUAGGGUGCAAGCGUUAAUCGGAAUUACUGGGCGUAAAGCGUGCGCAGGCGGUUCUUUAAGACAGAUGUGAAAUCCCCGGGCUCAACCUGGGAACUGCAUUUGUGACUGCAGAGCUGGAGUACGGUAGAGGGGGAUGGAAUUCCGCGUGUAGCAGUGAAAUGCGUAGAUAUGCGGAGGAACACCGAUGGCGAAGGCAAUCCCCUGGACCUGUACUGACGCUCAUGCACGAAAGCGUGGGGAGCAAACAGG
rnacentral:rRNA from 1 species